rnacentral:lncRNA from 1 species
CUGUUGCUAUAUGGUGUGUCGAUAUUGGCAGAUCUUAAUUUAACUCGAUCCACAUAAGAUGUGGAUUGAGAUUUAUUCUAAUAUGUUAAGUAUAAGAAAUAAAUUAUACGUCUCUUAUUAGUUAAGAAAUGUAUCUUUCGGUGGAUAUUUAUUAUGGAUAUCAUAAUCCUAAUUUAAUGUGAGAUUCAUGAUAUUUUAGAGGGCUCCGUUAUUCGGUGGAUAUUUAUUAUGGAUAUCAUAAUCCUAAUUUAAUGUGAGAUUCAUGAUAUUUUAGGGGGUUCCGUUAUUUUAUAAAUACGUUCCUUUUUUCUCCCGUAUUAUCAUACGAUCUAAUUUGAUUUAAGAGAAUCUACGAUCUAUCUUCCUUCUUUUCUCUCUUCUUUUCCUCUGGAAUUUCCAUCUACGUUCCCGGGAUUUCAAUUCGUAUCUCGAAAAUCUUUUGUUAAAACAAGCAAUCCGAUCCGUGACGCGAGGUGUUGGCAUGAGAGAAGGCGAAGUACGUGGGAGAUCUAGAAGCAUUGAGACCAGGAUGAUUCAGGCAGGCUAGUAAAACAAGCAAUUCGAUCCAAUUGCGGUUUCUGGAUACGUUGACUAUCUAGUUUGUAAGUUUCCGCUGCCCUCGAAUUUCCAACAAUUGGUAUCAGAGCCAUAUACUUGUUUUCGACUUAUGAUCAUGCCUGAUGCGUGUUUUUUGGAUCGCUUUUUUGUUGGUCAAUUUUUAUGUAGAUUUGUUCUACAAUUUUUCUCAUUUUUUAUGUGAAAUCGAUUAAAAAGAAAGAAAAGAAAAAGUAAAUUAGUUUUAGUUUU